GUAUCGCUGAAGAGUCCCAAACUAGGACGAAACAGUUGUCCAGUAC
rnacentral:hammerhead_ribozyme from 1 species